rnacentral:rRNA from 1 species
UACGUAGGGUGCAAGCGUUGUCCGGAAUUAUUGGGCGUAAAGAGCUCGUAGGCGGUCUGUCGCGUCGGAUGUGAAAAUCCAGGGCUCAACCCUGGACCUGCAUUCGAUACGGGCAGACUAGAGUUCGGUAGGGGAGACGUGGAAUUCCUGGUGUAGCGGUGAAAUGCGUAGAUAUCGAGAGGAACACCUGCGGCGAAGGCGGGUUGCUGGGCUGACACUGACGCUGAUGCGCGAAAGCCAGGGGAGCAAACGGG